GAUGAAGAACGUAGCGAAAUGCGAUAAGUAAUGUGAAUUGCAGAAUUCAGUGAAUCAUCGAAUCUUUGAACGCACAUUGCGCCCAUUAGCAUUCUAGUGGGCAUGCCUGUUCGAGCGUCAUUUCAACCCUUAAGCCCUGUUGCUUAGCGUUGGGAGCCUACAGUACUGUAGCUCCCCAAAGUUAGUGGCGGAGUCGGUUCCACACUCUAGACGUAGUAAUUUUUUCUCGUCUGUAGUUGAGCCGGUCCCCUGCCGUAAAACACCCAAUUUAUCAAGGUUGACCUCGGAUCAGGUAGGAAUACCCGCUGAACUUAAGCAUAUCAAUAAGCGGAGGA
rnacentral:misc_RNA from 1 species